AUGCGCAUGCACGCAUACACACACCCCGGUGCACUCACAUGCAGGCACACACUCAUAGCCCAGCGCGCACAUGCAGGCAUGCACACCCCAACGUGCACACACGUGCAUAUGAACACACACACACACCAGGGUACACACACAUGCACACCCCAGCACACACAUGCACACCCCGGUGCACACAUGCAUACACAUGCAGGCAUGCACACCCCAGUGCGCACACAUGCACACACACAUGAACACACACCCAUGCACACCGCAGGGCACACUCAUGCACACCCCCACGCACACUCCCCAGUGCACACACACAUGCAUGCCCCAGUGCACACACAUGCACGCCCCCAUGCACACCCCCAUUGCACACAGAUGCACCCACACACGCACCCCCAGUGCACACACUCAUGCACACCUGUGUGCAUACACGCGUGUGCACACACCCAGUGCACACACAUGCACACCCCCAUGCAUGCACACACGUGUACCCAUGCACAUGCACACCCCCAUGCAUGCACACCCCCAUGUAGGCACACAACCAUGCACACACACACACCCAUGAACACCCCCAUGCAUGCACACCCCCAUGUAGGCACACAACCAUGCACACACACUCUGCACACAUCCGCACACCCAUGCACACGCGCACACCCACACAUGCACACCCACAUACAUGCACCCAUGCACACCCAUGCACACACACUGCACACACGCACACCCCCAUACAUGCAUACCCCCAUGCAUGCACACCCCUGCACACCCACGUGUAUGCACACGCCCCUACAUGCACACCCACGCAUGCACACCCAUGCACAUCCACAUGUAUGCACACGCCCAUACAUGCACAGCCCCAUGCAUGCACACCCAUGCGCACCCAUGUGUAUGCACACGCCCAUACAUGCACACCCAUACAUGCACACCCCCAUACAUGCACACCCCCAUGAAUGCACACCCAUGCACACCAACAUGUAUGCACACGCCCCUACAUGCACACCCCCAUGCAUGCACACCCAUGCACACCCAUGUGUAUGCACACACCCAUACAUGCACACCCAUGCACACCCAUACAUGCACACCCCCAUACAUGCACACCCAUGCAUGCACACCCAUGCACACCCAUACAUGCACACCCCCAUACAUGCACACCCAUGCUGCACGCACGCGCACCCAUGCACACGCAGACACCCGUGCAUGCACACACCCAUGCAUGCAGACACCCAUGCAUGCACACACGCACGUGCACCCAUGCACACGCAGACACCCAUGCAUGCACACACCCAUGCAUGCAGACACCCAUGCAUGCACACACGCACGUGCACUCAUGCACACGCAGACACCCAUGCAUGCACACACCCAUGCAUGCACACACCCGUGCAUGCAGACACGCACACCCACGCACACCCACGCACACCCC
rnacentral:lncRNA from 1 species